rnacentral:rRNA from 1 species
GACGGAGGGGGCAAGCGUUGUCCGGAGUUACUGGGCGUAAAGGGCGCGUAGGCGGCGCGACACGUUCCUGGUGAAAUCGCCCGGCUUAACCGGGCGCGGUCUGGGAAGACGGUCGGGCUAGAGGCGUUCAGAGGGUGGUGGAAUUCCCGGUGUAGUAGUGAAAUGCGUAGAACUCGGGAGGAACACCAGUGGUGCAGACGGCCACCUGGGAACGACCUGACGCUGAGGCGCGACAGCGUGGGGAG